CUUCACCUUUGAGAUGCUCAAUUUCAGAGUAAUUUUGUAGCUCUACCUCCAUGCUGUGAGAGGCACUGAAUUGUGGAAAAAAGAAUGGGGAGACUUUCCUUGGCCCCUAGAACCUGAAAUCCUAACGAGAGCCAAUAAGCCCAGGAAGGAGCUGCGUUGGCGUUGGCCGAGGGCACCCGGCAGCGAUGGAGGUGUGCCGCCCACAGCACAGGCUCCUUCUUCCUGGCCGUGGGAGCAGGAUGUCUUGCAGGUUACCACACUGCCUUUACUUGUCCUGUCUUCCUGAGAACCUACUGGUGAACAUGAAUCAACAACAGUAACACCGAUAACCAUUUUGCGGCCUCGUGCUGUAUUGAGCAAUGUGCAAAACUCUUCACGUGUAUUGACAUAUUUAACUCUCACAACAUCCACAUGAGAUUUCUUUUUCAACUUCCUCCACAUCUAAAGAUGACCUGGAUCUUAAGAGUAUUUGUUAUGGAGAUGGGCGGCAAGGUGCCUGCAGAGUGAAGACUGACUCCUCUCCUCUCAGCUGGAUUGCAACAGAACAAAGCAAUCAUUAAGUGCUCUGAUUUCAAAAGAAUUAGCCCCGUUCUGGCAGAGGACAGCACAUAUUUGGAGAUCUCCUCUACGUCAUCAAAUAUUUCCUGCUAAUUUGGAUUCUAUUGAAUUGGAUGAAAACAAGUUCACAGGGCUUGAGAAUUUGGCCAAGAGACCAUAAACAAAGGGAAACACCAAGUGGAAUUCGUGCUUUCAGACUUGGGGACACCAGCUUACAUGGCGCCAGUGGGGUGAGGGGUCACAUUCAUUUAAUGGAAUCACUCAUAUUCCGGAGGAGGCUGCCGGUGUCGCUAACUAAUUUCAUUAUAACGCUGAGUUGUGCCACCACCCACGAAUGCCAAGGGAACAUGCAAAGAGGGCAGGAAAGCACCAAGUGCCAAAAGGUGCUAGAAGAAGUUUGGGCCUCAGUUCGGUUCCUUUCCAGGAACAAAUCGCCACAAUGGGGGACAGAAUGCUGUAGGAGCGCCAACAGAGAACAAAGCCACCAGGCAGCCACUUUCAAUGACAUUAAAAAGA